CAGUAGCCACGGGAAUACGUAGGUGGCAAGUGUUGUCCGGAAUUAUUGGGCGUAUAGGGCUCGCAGGCGGUUUCUUAAGUCUGAUGUGAAAGCCCCCGGCUCAACCGGGGAGGGUCAUUGGAAACUGGGAAACUUGAGUGCAGAAGAGGAGAGUGGAAUUCCACGUGUAGCGGUGAAAUGCGUAGAGAUGUGGAGGAACACCAGUGGCGAAGGCGACCCUCUGGUCUGUAACUGUCGCUGAGGAGCGAAAGCGUGGGGAGCGAACAGGAUUAGAUACCCCAGUAGUCCCUGUCUCUUAUAC
rnacentral:rRNA from 1 species